AGCUCCAUAGCGUAGUGAUUUACGCAUUUGCUUAUCAAGCAAAGGUCACUGGUUCAGCUGGAGCUG
rnacentral:tRNA from 1 species